UGCAGCAACAGCGAUUUCUUCUACACUUAAUAAAAACCCACCAACCAAAUCACGAACCACCCAACUAAUAGCGCACAAUAAUAAGAUUUCAAUCUUAAAUACACAACCUGAACAGCUGAAAAUAAUAAAAUUUCCUCCGAUAACAACACUAAGCCAACAAACAAAAUAAACGACACGUCACCAUUUCCACAUGCAACCUUUACUUCACACAUUGGAUCUGCAACUUUCAAAUGAUUUUCCGGUCUCUCCUUUACCGGAUAUGGUUGACCCGCAGGAAGUUGAAAUUACCUCUUGCAGCCAGCGCACCUUACGCCGCAAGUACGUCUUGGAGUUUUAAUUGCAAUACAGAAACCUAACGUAGUUGUCAUAUUGCUAUGUUCUUCAGCUGGAGCAUGAAGCUACUUCGACAUAACUAACAAUCGCGCAAUUAUGCUUAAUCAUCAUGAGUGAGUCACUGUUAUCGAGUGUUGUUGUUGUUGUUGAUGACCAAAAUCUGCAUUCGUAGUAUAAGAAAGCAUUCAAAAUACAAAAACACAGAUCCAUAUUAUAACGAACGAAUACCCACACCAAGUAAACACGAAAUAAUAAAGAGGCGCUCUUUUUGCCAAAAGUGAUGUUCCUCAUAUCAUACAUCAACGGUAUACUGUUUCUUCACAUGUGACUUCUACUUGUAGACUGCUUUUUCAAUCUGUGACUAUUUGUUGCGGCUAUCCUCUCACGACCAUCAGUGUAAAAAGGAAGGAUGAAAUGAAAUGAAUGAAUCGAUGAAAAUUUGAUUAAUCAAAUUAGACAUCCGAGUGAUGAUCACCAUUUACUUAAAUCGAUCCCAACUAAUAGAACACUAUAAAAAACGUGCCUAUUUACUUUAAUAAUGCUAAACUGAUAUCUCUGAGGUCAAAGGACUGGAUGAAGUUCAAAACGCAUCGUUCUCGGAACGACGGGAGUCAAGAGAGAGAGAGAGCAAAAUUGGGCAGCCUUUCUGUCUUCUCUUAACCCUUUUGUGUACUGUCACGUUCUGUGGAACCAGGUUAAUAACUGAGCGAAAUCAAUAGCAUUAACAUUUUCUAUCCCAAAUUCAUCUGGUAGGGAUAUCCCUAAUCCACAUGAAAUAAUUUCGGAAUUGCCUAGUUUUGAAGCUUGCUGAGCUCUGAUAAGAUUUUCAGUUUGUCGAUGUUAUUACAUCCAAACGCAAUUUUAAUAACUUCUGUCUGUCACAUUCUACUUACCUUUUCCCAGAAUUAGUUGAUACUAUCGACGUGUUGGAGCUUGAUCAAACCGUAAUAUCUUGUAGCAUACGGC